UAGGGAAUAUUGGACAAUGGGGGAAACCCUGAUCCAGCCAUGCCGCGUGAGUGAUGACGGCCCUAGGGUUGUAAAGCUCUUUCAACGGUGAAGAUAAUGACGGUAGCCGUAGAAGAAGCCCCGGCUAACUUCGUGCCAGCAGCCGCGGUAAUACGAAGGGGGCUAGCGUUGUUCGGAAUAACUGGGCGUAAAGCGCACGUAGGCGGAUUGUUUAGUGAGGGGUGAAAUCCCAGGGCUCAACCCUGGAACUGCCUUUCAUACUGGCAAUCUAGAGUUCGAGAGAGGUGAGUGGAAUUCCGAGUGUAGAGGUGAAAUUCGUAGAUAUUCGGAGGAACACCAGUGGCGAAGGCGGCUCACUGGCUCGAUACUGACGCUGAGGUGCGAAAGCGUGGGGAGCAAACAGGAUUAGAUACCCCCGUAGUCC
rnacentral:rRNA from 1 species